rnacentral:rRNA from 1 species
UUAAGCGACUAAGCGUACACGGUGGAUGCCCUGGCAGUCAGAGGCGAUGAAGGACGUGCUAAUCUGCGAUAAGCGUCGGUAAGGUGAUAUGAACCGUUAUAACCGGCGAUUUCCGAAUGGGGAAACCCAGUGUGAUUCGUCACACUAUCAUUAACUGAAUCCAUAGGUUAAUGAGGCGAACCGGGGGAACUGAAACAUCUAAGUACCCCGAGGAAAAGAAAUCAACCGAGAUUCCCCCAGUAGCGGCGAGCGAACGGGGAGCAGCCCAGAGCCUGAAUCAGUGUGUGUGUUAGUGGAAGCGUCUGGAAAGGCGCGCGAUACAGGGUGACAGCCCCGUACACAAAAAUGCACAUAUUGUGAGCUCGAUGAGUAGGGCGGGACACGUGGUAUCCUGUCUGAAUAUGGGGGGACCAUCCUCCAAGGCUAAAUACUCCUGACUGACCGAUAGUGAACCAGUACCGUGAGGGAAAGGCGAAAAGAACCCCGGCGAGGGGAGUGAAAAAGAACCUGAAACCGUGUACGUACAAGCAGUGGGAGCACAGAGCAAUCUGUGUGACUGCGUACCUUUUGUAUAAUGGGUCAGCGACUUAUAUUCUGUAGCAAGGUUAACCGAAUAGGGGAGCCGAAGGGAAACCGAGUCUUAACUGGGCGUUAAGUUGCAGGGUAUAGACCCGAAACCCGGUGAUCUAGCCAUGGGCAGGUUGAAGGUUGGGUAACACUAACUGGAGGACCGAACCGACUAAUGUUGAAAAAUUAGCGGAUGACUUGUGGCUGGGGGUGAAAGGCCAAUCAAACCGGGAGAUAGCUGGUUCUCCCCGAAAGCUAUUUAGGUAGCGCCUCGUGAAUUCAUCUCCGGGGGUAGAGCACUGUUUCGGCAAGGGGGUCAUCCCGACUUACCAACCCGAUGCAAACUGCGAAUACCGGAGAAUGUUAUCACGGGAGACACACGGCGGGUGCUAACGUCCGUCGUGAAGAGGGAAACAACCCAGACCGCCAGCUAAGGUCCCAAAGUCAUGGUUAAGUGGGAAACGAUGUGGGAAGGCCCAGACAGCCAGGAUGUUGGCUUAGAAGCAGCCAUCAUUUAAAGAAAGCGUAAUAGCUCACUGGUCGAGUCGGCCUGCGCGGAAGAUGUAACGGGGCUAAACCAUGCACCGAAGCUGCGGCAGCGACACUAUGUGUUGUUGGGUAGGGGAGCGUUCUGUAAGCCUGUGAAGGUGUACUGUGAGGUAUGCUGGAGGUAUCAGAAGUGCGAAUGCUGACAUAAGUAACGAUAAAGCGGGUGAAAAGCCCGCUCGCCGGAAGACCAAGGGUUCCUGUCCAACGUUAAUCGGGGCAGGGUGAGUCGACCCCUAAGGCGAGGCCGAAAGGCGUAGUCGAUGGGAAACAGGUUAAUAUUCCUGUACUUGGUGUUACUGCGAAGGGGGGACGGAGAAGGCUAUGUUGGCCGGGCGACGGUUGUCCCGGUUUAAGCGUGUAGGCUGGUUUUCCAGGCAAAUCCGGAAAAUCAAGGCUGAGGCGUGAUGACGAGGCACUACGGUGCUGAAGCAACAAAUGCCCUGCUUCCAGGAAAAGCCUCUAAGCAUCAGGUAACAUCAAAUCGUACCCCAAACCGACACAGGUGGUCAGGUAGAGAAUACCAAGGCGCUUGAGAGAACUCGGGUGAAGGAACUAGGCAAAAUGGUGCCGUAACUUCGGGAGAAGGCACGCUGAUAUGUAGGUGAAGCGACUUGCUCGUGGAGCUGAAAUCAGUCGAAGAUACCAGCUGGCUGCAACUGUUUAUUAAAAACACAGCACUGUGCAAACACGAAAGUGGACGUAUACGGUGUGACGCCUGCCCGGUGCCGGAAGGUUAAUUGAUGGGGUCAGCGCAAGCGAAGCUCUUGAUCGAAGCCCCGGUAAACGGCGGCCGUAACUAUAACGGUCCUAAGGUAGCGAAAUUCCUUGUCGGGUAAGUUCCGACCUGCACGAAUGGCGUAAUGAUGGCCAGGCUGUCUCCACCCGAGACUCAGUGAAAUUGAACUCGCUGUGAAGAUGCAGUGUACCCGCGGCAAGACGGAAAGACCCCGUGAACCUUUACUAUAGCUUGACACUGAACAUUGAGCCUUGAUGUGUAGGAUAGGUGGGAGGCUUUGAAGUGUGGACGCCAGUCUGCAUGGAGCCGACCUUGAAAUACCACCCUUUAAUGUUUGAUGUUCUAACGUUGGCCCCUAAUCGGGGUUGCGGACAGUGUCUGGUGGGUAGUUUGACUGGGGCGGUCUCCUCCUAAAGAGUAACGGAGGAGCACGAAGGUUGGCUAAUCCUGGUCGGACAUCAGGAGGUUAGUGCAAUGGCAUAAGCCAGCUUGACUGCGAGCGUGACGGCGCGAGCAGGUGCGAAAGCAGGUCAUAGUGAUCCGGUGGUUCUGAAUGGAAGGGCCAUCGCUCAACGGAUAAAAGGUACUCCGGGGAUAACAGGCUGAUACCGCCCAAGAGUUCAUAUCGACGGCGGUGUUUGGCACCUCGAUGUCGGCUCAUCACAUCCUGGGGCUGAAGUAGGUCCCAAGGGUAUGGCUGUUCGCCAUUUAAAGUGGUACGCGAGCUGGGUUUAGAACGUCGUGAGACAGUUCGGUCCCUAUCUGCCGUGGGCGCUGGAGAACUGAGGGGGGCUGCUCCUAGUACGAGAGGACCGGAGUGGACGCAUCACUGGUGUUCGGGUUGUCAUGCCAAUGGCACUGCCCGGUAGCUAAAUGCGGAAGAGAUAAGUGCUGAAAGCAUCUAAGCACGAAACUUGCCCCGAGAUGAGUUCUCCCUGACUCCUUGAGAGUCCUGAAGGAACGUUGAAGACGACGACGUUGAUAGGCCGGGUGUGUAAGCGCAGCGAUGCGUUGAGCUAACCGGUACUAAUGAACCGUGAGGCUUAACCUU